rnacentral:rRNA from 1 species
CGUUAGCGGCGGACGGGUGAGUAACACGUGGGUAACCUACCUAUAAGACUGGGAUAACUUCGGGAAACCGGAGCUAAUNACCGGAUAAUAUUUCGAACCGCAUGGUUCGAUAGUGAAAGAUGGUUUUGCUAUCACUUAUAGAUGGACCCGCGCCGUAUUAGCUAGUUGGUAAGGUAACGGCUUACCAAGGCGACGAUACGUAGCCGACCUGAGAGGGUGAUCGGCCACACUGGAACUGAGACACGGUCCAGACUCCUACGGGAGGCAGCAGC